UAUGCUUAGCCGUAACAUUGACAGUUAAAUACAUUUUCUGUCCGCCUGGGUACUACGAGCAUUAGCUUAAAACCCAAAGGACUUGGCGGUGCUUUAGACCCACCUAGAGGAGCCUGUUCUAGAACCGAUAAUCCCCGUUCAACCUCACCCUUCCUUGCUCGUCCCGCCUAUAUACCACCGUCGCCAGCUUACCCUGUGAAGGCUAAAAAGUAAGCAAAAUUGGCAUUGCCCAGCACGUCAGGUCGAGGUGUAGCGAAUGGAGGGGGAAGAAAUGGGCUACAUUCCCUCUAAAAUACAGGGAAUUACGAAAGAUGGACUGAAAAUCGUACAUCUGAAGGAGGAUUUAGCAGUAAGCGGAAAGUAGAGUGUUCCACUGAAACCGGCUCUUAAGCGCGCACACACCGCCCGUCACUCUCCCCGAAACUUUAUCAAAACAUUAAUUAAAAUGCCAAAAUCAUAGAGGGGAGGCAAGUCGUAACAUGGUAAGUGUACUGGAA
rnacentral:rRNA from 1 species